UUUCAAACUCUAUUCGUAUGUAAGGUGAAUUAUUAUAUGAUGACUACCCUAUUAUUCUCCUGUAAUUCAUUUAAUAAUUUUAAAAAUUACUUCUAUCACGCAAAAAUUGAUUUACUAUAUACAAUGUCAAAUGUGGUCUAACAGCGUCAUAUUCUCUUAUAUCGUCACCCCCUUUCUUGCCGGUCUUCUUCAUCUUCACUCUCUAUCUACUUCCAAAAGUUCUGAUCAAUGUUCAGAGAAGAAAGUGUUUUAAUAAAAUCUUCGUAAAGAUGUGUAGCGUUGAUCAUAGGAUUUCAAGUGAUUAUUGCCCAAAAGAUAAUAAAAUUGUGGUGCGAGCCAACAAAACUAUAAAUCUAGGCUGUAAAAAGUUUCUGAGGAAAAAAUAGAGAUGUUGCUCACUGCCUGGUGUAACAUACCAAAUUUAUCUUAUAUUAAAUAUUUUUAGUCAUUAUCUUUAAAUAUUAUUAUGCCUAUUUUGAGGCUUAUUUAUGAUAUCAUGUUUUAUCACUAAAUUUUACACAAUUGAUCUAACAUUAAAAAAAAAUUUUUUUUAGUUUAAUUUCAUCUAUAAUAAUAUUAUUUAUAUCGAUCUCAAAUUCAAUAAAUAUAAGUUACAACUUGUCACUAUAACCCAGUUUUAUUUUUUUUGGACGAUAAAUAAUUUUUAUAUUGUGCCUAUUAUAUGCAAAUUUAUGAU